UACAGAGGUCUCAAGCGUUGUUCGGAUUCAUUGGGCGUAAAGGGUGCGUAGGUGGCGCCGUAAGUCGGGUGUGAAAUUUCGGAGCUUAACUCCGAAACUGCAUUCGAUACUGCGGUGCUUGAGGACUGGAGAGGAGACUGGAAAUUCAUGGUGUAGCAGUGAAAUGCGUAGAGAUCAUGAGGAACCACAGUGGCGAAGGCGGAGUCCUGGACAACUCCUGACACUGAGGCACGAAGGUCCAGGGGAGCAAACGGG
rnacentral:rRNA from 1 species